GAUCAUGGCUCAGGAUGAACGCUAGCUACAGGCUUAACACAUGCAAGUCGAGGGGCAGCGGGAAGUCAGCUUGCUGACUUUGCCGGCGACCGGCGCACGGGUGAGUAACACGUAUCCAACCUUCCCGUUACUCUGGGAUAGCCUUUCGAAAGAAAGAUUAAUACCGGAUAGUAUCGAGAGAUUGCAUGAUAACCCGAUUAAAGAUUCAUCGGUAACGGAUGGGGAUGCGUUCCAUUAGA
rnacentral:rRNA from 1 species